CUCGAGCAUCAGAGCUGGCGUAGAGGAUUCGAUCUUAGUCCGGUAUUGAUGCUUUGCCUGUUUGAUGGCUCGUCGAAUGUCGUAGCAGCAUUUCUUAUAAGCCUCGAGAUUAAUGUCCCGCUCCUUGAAAGCGGCAGCUCUAGCCUUCAGCUCAAUGCAGAUGUUGCUUAUAAUCCAUGGCUUCUGGUUGGGGUACGUACUUAGUCACUGUGGCGAUGACUUAGUCGUCGAUGCACUUAAUAACGGAGGUACUGACUGAUGUGCUAAACUCCUCAAUGUUAUUGGAUGAAUCCCGGAACAUAUUCCAGUCUGUGCUAGUGAAACAGUAGCUUAGCAUCCGCUUCAUCGGACCAGCACGAACACCUGAUUCCACUAAUCAAAGUCUUGAUGAGGUCCAGAGUUGGUGACCAGUAAUCAAGAUUACUUUCCUAUGAGUAUAUGUGCCUCAUAAAUGUGAGUUUGACCUUUGACCCUGUGAUGACUCGGCAGGUGCAUGCAGAGGUAGAGUUUGAGCUGCUGGAGGGAGCUGUGCUGGCUGUAGAGAUGCUCAACGGAACACUGCUACACACCCGACACAUCCUCAAGGUCCAGAGACCUGUAAAGGAGUCCAUGCUGGAUCUGGACGUCUUCCUGAGUUGCCUGCAGGAUGACCCGCUAAAUGCUAACGUCAUCUACGCCGCAGGGCUAAAGGCUAAUGCUAAAACAGCACGGCUUGCAGCCAAAAUCAAUGGGACUGGGCUAAAUGCUAACGCAGCAGCUAAAGUCAAUGGCACUGGGCUAAAUGCUAACAUAGCAGCACUCCCAGCUAAGGUCAAUAGAGCUAGGCUACACGCUAAAGCGAACCAUUCAGGGCUCUUAGAGAAAGUCAAUGGAACUUUUCUAAAUGCUAAAGCUAAGCUAGCUGAAGCGAAUGGACCUGGGCUACAUGCUAAAGCUAAAUUUGCUAAGCUAGUAGAGCUCUCAGCUGAAGUCAAUGGCACUCUGCUCAAAGCGAAAACUAUGUUAGCAGAGAUAGCAGCCGAAGCCAAUGUUGGAGCGAGGCUACAUGCUAAGACUGCCGGACUCUGUGAAGAGGACCUCUGCAAGGCCUUCGGACAGUACGGAACGGUUCAGGGGGUAAUUCUACCUGCAAAGCACUCUGGAAAACAGAAACGUAGGAGACAUGCUUUCUUAAAGUAUGAUAGUCCUGACACUGUGGACGCGGUCCUCAGCUCACCUGUGGAACUCUGGGACAGGAAGGUGAGCACUCGCAGAGCCCUGACUCCACCCCACCUGCGCUCCUGGGUUACUAUGAUGACGACGACUGGGUCUGACAGAGAGACACCGGACGAGUCGUCACAGCAAACUGGAAGAGAGGAACAGGAAGUGGCGUGUGUGAUGAGGAAGUUGGACCGGCGCGUGGGGAAGCUGUUCAGAUCUCUACCUGACAACACCCUCAGCAUCGUACUGCUACCUGGUCACAACAGUUCCCAUGGCGAUGGUCUGUGUUUCCUGGAGGUCAAACAGGGGUCAGCAGCACUCAGUGACCAUGCCCACAACCUGAUGCUACCUGCAUAGGGUUGCAAAAAUCCAGUACCUUCCCAAGAUUCCCAGAAAUCCUGGUUGGAGGAUUCUGGAUUUCUUGCUUAUUCCCUCCUGAUUUCAUGAAUCUUCCAAAUGGGAAAGUUAACAGAUUUUAGCAACACUUCGCCUGCGAUACCGUGUUUUACCAUCUUUGUGUUCUGUAGCCCAGGAGUGCUGCAACUUGUCUAACAUAGAGAGCUAUAGGCUACGAGAAUAUGAAGUUAUUUUUAAAUAAAAAGAGCUGUCUACUUACGAGUGCUCGAUAUGUUUCAUUCAGUACAGGCUGGACAGGGUUUUGUACACAGGCAACGAAUUGAAGGCAAAACACAGGAUGUGCCUGAAAUGACACCCUAUUCCCUAUGUAGUGUGCACUAUGGGCACCCUAUUCCCUAUGUAGUGUGCACUAUGGGCACCCUAUUCCCUAUGUAGUGUGCACUAUGGCACGCCAUGGGUCCUGGCAAAACCCUCUACAGGGAUUAUUAGGAUGCCAUUUUGGACGUAAACUCAGUGUGUUUGACCUGUAUUACUGCCUCUGAUCUGAAUCACAUGAUGCCUUGUGUUGUCUUUAUCAUGUCCACCUAAUAAAC
rnacentral:lncRNA from 1 species